GGUUCCGCAGGAAUGCAACCCUGGGUGAAGGCCAGCCAUGUUGAGUGUGGCCGACGGAGGAGCGCGAUCGGACCCGAGGCUAGAGGAUGCGGGGAAGCCAUCUUUGGUGUGGCGCUUUGGGAGCUCGGCGGGACUCGGGAGGAGCCAGAGUCUAUCCGCAGAGGAGACCACCCCCUUCCCUUUGACGCUAAUUGGGCCUUCUGGCUGAGCGGGUCACCCCCGAGCCAAAACACGCUGAGGACUUGACAAGGGUGACCCAGGGAUCCGGGACCCGGCAGACGAUUCAGAAGGAAUCGUCACUCUAGGCGGAUCGGAGUAACCGCAGCUUUGCGGCUGCUCGCUGCUGUCACUGCGGCCCUCUCAUUGGCCAGGGGUUUACAGUUCUGUUCAGCACGCACACUGAUGGCUUAAGCUCUUUCCAAAACAAGCAAAAACUACGUUUCCUUUCCCUUCGGUGUUGUGGUUUGAGAAGCCCUCUGGGGUCAACAUAUUUUCUCUUAGCUUUGUCUUUGUCACCAGCCUCCGCUUGGUGAAUUUUAUCGUCUGUCAAGACUGUAAAGGACAGCUUUUCUGCGAAUAAUGCCUGACACCUUCCGCUAGGUGCUCACUGCAGCUAAGCUCUCCACCUUCUGGGCUCCGAUAGUUACUUUGCCUCGAAAUUAUUUCUCAUCUAAAGUACCAUGGGUGUCUUAAAGUCUCCUUUUUCUAUGUAUACCCAGUAGGGCCUGGCACAGUAACUACAACACUGUAGAUGUUCAAUAAAUGUUCGCUACCUUGACCAUAUCAAUAAAAGCAGACGACAAUAACUGAUCCUCCCCAUAAGACAGCCGCGCCUCAGCAGGAACUACGUGAAUGUACAAAAGUCCUGCACAUAUGUCAAUGUAUACACCCUCCCUGAGAACAGCACUUCAGCAAAGAAUGAGAGUUGUGGAGAUCCCGAGUACGCAAGCAGUAGCAAGAAAAAGAUUUGAAAGGUGGAACUGCGGCAGGGAAAUGGAUUAGCAGGUAAAGGGAAUUGCCACCACGCCUGGCGAUCUUAGUUUGAUCCCCGGACCCAGAAUGGUGGACCAAGAGAGCAGAUUCCUCUAAGGUGUCCUCUGAUCUGCAUUGCGUGCAGGUGCAUGAGAAGACAUGUAUGAUUACAUACAUACAUACAUACAUACAUGUAAUAAAAAGAAAAGUGAAAUUU
rnacentral:lncRNA from 1 species